AAUACUAUCAAGUACUUUCCGUAUUCUAUUUUCCUCGUAAGAAAGUUGGGUUCGGACAAGGUUCAAUUCCUUGGAAGCAUUG
rnacentral:tRNA from 1 species